AGAGACAGAAAGAACAAGAUAUAAAUAAAUAGAAUCCCCAAUAGUGGGGCAGUCCACUUAGGGUAAUCCAGGAUAAACCCCACACAAAAAU